AUGGAUGUGACUGGGGACACCAGGGCAUGAGAACCCGGCGAGAUUCAGACUCUAAAGCUGGGCCGGCUGCACCGCAACUGCAGCCGUGAGCAGCACAGGUGGUCACCUCCCGCCUCGAGGACCUGAGCAGCAAGGCCUGUGACAGCCUGGCCAUUGACAAGUCCCUGCCACUGAUCACCCUGGUCCUGCAGAGGCUGGCACCACGGUGAUGAGGAUUACUUCCUGUGUCUGCCUUCCAAUACUAAGAGUAUGGCAUUGACCAAUAACGAGACGAGGGCAUAGGACAAUUCUGAUGGAGAUAUGGCUUGGGUUUCCAGGCAUCCUUUGAUGUGGAUGAACUAUAGCGGGGCAUGGUUGAAGCAGAAGAAUGUGGCCAGGCAGCUGAACAAGGCUCCAUCCAGUGCCAUCCUCCUAUCAGAGGAAGACUGUCCCGUGCUCAUUCAUAUUCUGUGUUCAGAUCUGGCUCAGGAACUAAGCCAAGGCUGUGCCACCAUCCAGGUUCGCAGGACGCGCUCCAGCAGGUGCUUCACAGAGGAAGUGGUCUGUCCGGGCAGCUCCUGGAGCUGUACCUCCUGGUUUUGGAGAAAGAGGGCAGCCUCUUGUCAAGGCAAGAGGAGUCCAAAGCAGCCUUUGGUGAUGAGGCAGAGGCAGUAGACAUGAUUUUGCACUGAGGAGCUAGUCCCUUCCCACACUGCAAGAGAAGCCAGCCCUGGAGCUGGUGUAUCUACUCAGGAUGUGGAGCUGCUUACCAAGGAAGACCCCAAGGCACUGGCUGUUGCUUUGAACGGGGACAUUACGAAGACAAACUGUUCAAGAGGCUGGUGACCAGGUGCUCGCCCUGCACAGACGCAGAGCUUGCAUUCUCGCCGGGAAGAACUCACUUCCGGAGACCCGCAGAACCCUAGGCCAGCCAGGCGAGACCCCACA
rnacentral:lncRNA from 1 species